UAUAAUCCCAACAACGCGGAGAACAAAAAAAAAAAAGGAAAAAUGAACUCCAUUCCUCUGGCUCUCUUUCGACUCUCUUUCUCUCUACACUCUCUCAAUUAGCACAUAAGAAAAUAAAAGUAAGGAAAAGUAAGAAAAAGUAGAAGAAGGUAGAGGAGUGGAGCUUCACUCUAGGAGUUUUUCCAUCAAAAUUUGUUCAUCCAAUUGGAAGGCCCCCACUGUUUCAUUAAGUGACGUAGCCGUUGGAGCUGCCAUGGUUGCCAGCGAGGAAUUGGAGGUCUAACCGGAAGAAGAGAGGAAGAAGGAAAAGAAAAAUGAAAAAGAAAAAGGAAAGGAAAAGAAAGGAAAAAAGAGGAAAAGAAAAUAAAGGGAAUGGCCUGGAAUUUUAUCUUUUGUUGGGCUUGUAUUGGGCUUUGGAUGGUAAACAUUAGGGAUGUUUGCUACUUUAAGCUUGUAUUUUUUACAUGAGAUGAUUUGUCUUUUUUGGGCUAGAUUAGUGUGGUCCGAGCACUAAAUGACCAAAACUUUUUUCUUCAUACUUUUCCUUAAAUCAGAAAUCAGAUUUUAUAAGUUGACCCUAAACGUUUUAGUAAUACUGUUAUGGCCCAAGAACUUUAGAUUUCCUAAAUUUAGGUCCUUAUUUUAAUUGCAUUUAACUCCUAAACUUUGUCUUUAUAUACUUUUUGCCCCUAAUUAUGGCCCAAGAACUUUAGAUUUCCUAAAUUUAGGUCCUUAUUUUAAUUGCAUUUAACUCCUAAACUUUGUCUUUAUAUACUUUUGGCCCCUAAUCAUUUAAUAAAAUUAUAUUUUGACCUUAAAAAUUUUCUAAUUUUUACAAUUUAGUCCCUUGUAGCUUUUGAUUUCUUAAUUAUAAUUGUUUCCUUUCUUUAACUAUUAAUUAUGUUUUCCUUAAAUGCAUUUAACUUGCAAUUUUGGGCGUUUUAAGUUUAUUUGGACCUUUGGCAUGAUAAUGUAAAUUUAGUAUAUUUUUAUGUUUGACCAAGAAGGUUCUAGUUAAGGAGGUUCAUGUGAAUUAUUGUUAGAGGCUAGACAUCUGUAUGGUUACAUAAAUCACUUUGCCUCACUCUAUCAAAUUUCCACCAAUUUAAGAAGAUUUUCAUGGGUUGAGGUAAUUUUUUAAACGACCUUUAUGUCUCAUGAAUUUAAUCAAAAGUUGAUCUAUUAAGGAAAUAAAAAAUUUUAAAAUUUUCACUGUGCAUGUCUUUAUAAUUCCUUACACAAAUUAGGAUUUAUGGAUAGAAUCCGACACUAGAUUAUAUUAGAUGGGAGGUUUGUUUGAUAAUAUGUGCAAGGAAAGAAAAAAGUCUCAACAUGGUCUCUUUUUCUUCUCCUCUCUCAUACCAUCACCACCAUCUUGGACAACUAAUCUCCGCUCCAAACUUUUGUUAUUUCAUUUUACUCUUGCCUUCUUUUAUUGGGGGAACAAUUUUGCAAUACAGAAUGAAAGAAAAUGAAAUGACUAAAAACAUCUACCUUGCAUAUAAGAAGAAUGCGAGGUUUAGUGUUUUUCUUUCCGUUUUGCCAUGUGACUUUUUGGUUAUUUGACAAGUGGCAUGACUCCAAUAUAUUUCCCUUAGAAAUUACUCUUGUUGCUCCAUCCACUCUCUUCGGACCAAACCCAGACCAAAUAGACUAAUUUCUGUCCUUUAAAAAAGCUGAGGAGCUUUAUCUUCUUCUCUAGGCUUAACCGAUUUCAUUAAACUCACUAAUCAGAUUAAGUUGAUGUGUUGUUUAACCCAUCAUCCUUAGAUUAGUCUUACUAGAUUUGUAUUACAUUUACAGCCAUUGGAUGUACUUCAUUAUGCUCUAAUUGUGAUUUAGCUUAGAAAUAGCAGCUGAUCGUUAUGAACUUAGCAGUUAGCACUGCUGCCUAAUUUUGCUACUUUAUUGGCUCCUUGAGCCCUCCUCCUCCAAUUUCCUUGGUCGAAGCAUGCUUUCUUUCCUUUCAAUUGUACCUCCUCAAGUUUCGACCAUAGAUUAACCUAGGGAUCAAGCAGAAGAUGGAUUUCAUAUGCUGUUUGUUGGAUAUUUCCAAUUACAGUCGCUCCUUUUUUUGCUCAAAGAAAGAAAAUAUGGGCCCAUUGCUCUAUGCUUGUCAUGCGCAUUCCUCCAUCUGGAAUGAUUCCUUUUCUCUUUUUUAAAAUAAUUUCUUGCAUUUUUAUACCUGAAUAUUAGCGCUUUAGGGUUUUCCUCUUAUUAAUUUGUUAUAAAUCAAACAAUUUGGAGUUUUUGUAUAAGCAAACAGCGGUUUGGUUUUCUAAUCUGCUUGGGGAUUUUUCUUGAUACAAAAGAAUGUAAAUUUUAAUGACAGUAAUUCUCUCUAUUGUGAGGCACUUCUUCACUCCUAGUAUUUUUCCUAUAUUCCUUUGUUUUGCAAAUAAAUUAAUUAACUAGAUCAGUUCAUAUUGGUUUCAAAAGGAACACAAAGUAUAAACUGCUUUCAGUUGUCACCAAUAUCAUUUGCAAAUUAUGAAUUUUUAGCUUUAAACUGAUAAUCAUUCAGCGUCUGUUUGUUGGACUGAAAACAUUUUCUCGAAAACGUUUUCCUGAUUUUUCACUGUUUGGACGCAAUCUAAUUUGAGAAAAUAAUUUCUGAUGAAAAAUAACUUUCACCGAGAGAAGGAAAAUUUCUUCCUUACCUAUUAUUUCGAAGUUAUUUUCCCUUCUUAAUCACGGCCUCUUCUUUUCACCGCCCAUUGAAGACCAUCGGCAAACCACCUUCUUGGCCUGCGGCAUUUCCAGCUCCGGCGAAGACCCACUUCUUUUUAAAAAUAUCUGUCUCCAUCUCCAGCUCCCGCGGCAUCCAAACGUAGGCUACUCUUGUAAUUAGGUCAUUAUCUUUUUAAAAAUCAGCUAUAUUAUCAUCUACUCUUUCACGGCAUCUCCAUCUCCAGCUCCUGCUCCGGCGGCAUCCAGAGCGACAUCUCAUCCCCAUUCCUGCAACAGCAUCUCCAACAAGGGCGAAGACUCCUUAAGCAUUUCCAGAGCAAAAUCCAGGUCAUGACAAGUAUAUUCACAAUAAAAUCGAAUUGUAUGAUGAAAUGGCUGUUGUGGUUGGAAAAGAUCUGGCCACCAGGUCUUUUGCAAAAUCAUUUGUCAAUGUGAAUUUGGAAACUCCAUUUGUUCCUAAGACAAGUGUAGAGACAAGUGAAGAGACGAGUGUGCAAAAGGAUGUGACUAGUGCAAGAUCCUCAGAAGUGAGAGCAAUAUCGUCGGGAACAAAACAACAUCGUAAAAGAAAUUGCAGCAAUGAAGAUAUGGAAAAGAUGUCUCAACAACUUGGAGAAGUGGCAGCUGCUUUGAACAAAAUUAGUGCAAACAAGCUUGAUAUCAGCCAACUACAUGAUGAGAUUAUGAAGAUAGAAGGUUAUAGCGGAGAAUUUCUGUACUUGGUAUUCGAUCAUUUGGUGCAAAAUGAGAAGCUGGGAAAAGCAUUUAUGGCGAAGAGUCAAAGACUUCGUUUGAUUUCUCUCGAGAGGUUCAAGAAAUAUUGGGGUGAAUGAAGUACUUAUUAUGUGAUGGCAGCAAGAAAGUAACAGAAACUGUAUUAUAAGCAAGCAUCAUAUUCUUGGAAAGUCUCUUCAACUGCAUAGUGUUUUUUAUUGUCAUUAUCUUUUGUAUUUAUAGGAAAACCACUUGCCUUGUUUUGGAAGUACUAGAAUUCCAGAAUUCUCUGCUUAAAGUAAUAUACCAAUUCCUUUGCACCCGUUUUUGUUA